AACAAACGCUGGCGGCGUGCCUAAUACAUGCAAGUCGAACGAGGAAAGUAGCAAUAUGAGUACUAGUGGCGCACGGGUGAGAAACGCGUGGGUAAUCUGCCUUAGAGUGGGGGAUAACCAAUCGAAAGAUUGGCUAAUACCGCAUAAGACCACAGGAGCUGAGGCUCUAGGGGUAAAAGGUUUUUCGCUCUAAGAUGAGCCCGCGUAGGAUUAGCGAGUUGGUAGGGUAACGGCCUACCAAGGCAACGAUCCUUAGCUGGUCUGAGAGGAUGAUCAGCCACACUGGAACUGAGACACGGUCCAGACUCCUACGGGAGGCAGCAGUAGGGAAUAUUGCGCAAUGGGGGAAACCCUGACGCAGCGACGCCGCGUGAGUGAUGAAGGACUUCGGUUCGUAAAGCUCUGUUGCAAGGGAAAAAGUUCUGAUUGUACCUUGUGAGGAAGGGUCGGCUAACUUCGUGCCAGCAGCCGCAGUAA
rnacentral:rRNA from 1 species